CGAACUUGGGUCUCAAGUACUAA
rnacentral:miRNA from 1 species